CUUCGCGCACACUUAAACAGCUGACAACAUUGGGGCGUGCCAAUUUCGAUCGCCUUUACAUCGAUGUGUGCGUACGUAUAUGAGCGAGCGUAGCCACAAUAUUUGACUCAAUGGGCAUGACACACUUCCGUAUUAGCAGCGAUGAACCAACGAACAAAAGAGAGUACAUAACUGAGCGUCUUUGGCAGGCAUAACAGGGCCAUCGAUCAAGGUUUCCCCUCUCACGCGCGUUUCUUCAGCAUGCUUGUGUAUGUGCCAAUGUCUACAUGUGUGCGUGUGUACGUGUGAGAGUGCACAUGUGUAACUCUGACGUCGCAUUACAUGCUCUAGUUGCAUAAAAUACAUAUAGUAUAUAUGUAA